rnacentral:rRNA from 1 species
GUCGAACGGUAGAGGGGGCAACCCCUCGAGAGUGGCGAACGGGUGAGUAAUAUAUCGGAACGUGCCCAGUCGUGGGGGAUAACGUAGCGAAAGUUACGCUAAUACCGCAUACGAUCUACGGAUGAAAGCGGGGGAUCGCAAGACCUCGCGCGAUUGGAGCGGCCGAUAUCAGAUUAGGUAGUUGGUGAGGUAAAGGCUCACCAAGCCAACGAUCUGUAGCUGGUCUGAGAGGACGACCAGCCACACUGGAACUGAGACACGGUCCAGACUCCUACGGGAGGCAGCAGUGGGGAAUUUUGGACAAUGGACGCAAGUCUGAUCCAGCCAUUCCGCGUGCAGGAUGAAGGCCCUCGGGUUGUAAACUGCUUUUGUACGGAACGAAAAGGUCUCUCUUAAUACGGGGGGCUCAUGACGGUACCGUAAGAAUAAGCACCGGCUAACUACGUGCCAGCAGCCGCGGUAAUACGUAGGGUGCAAGCGUUAAUCGGAAUUACUGGGCGUAAAGCGUGCGCAGGCGGUUAUAUAAGACAGAUGUGAAAUCCCCGGGCUCAACCUGGGAACUGCAUUUGUGACUGUAUAGCUAGAGUACGGUAGAGGGGGAUGGAAUUCCGCGUGUAGCAGUGAAAUGCGUAGAUAUGCGGAGGAACACCGAUGGCGAAGGCAAUCCCCUGGACCUGUACUGACGCUCAUGCACGAAAGCGUGGGGAGCAAACAGGAUUAGAUACCCUGGUAGUCCACGCCCUAAACGAU